rnacentral:lncRNA from 1 species
GCAUAACUUUCUUCAUCCACAUUCACUAGCAAAACUAGAGAGAAAAAAAGAUCACAACCCUCUCAUUUUGAUAAAAAAAGUAUUGCCAAUUUUUUUGUGAUUUCGACUUAGAAAUAUCUUGAGAUCGAGAAGAAGAAGAAAUCAUUUGAAUUUGAGGCAAACACGUUUUCACGUUAUAGUGCGUUGAUUUCUGAAUUAUUUGGAUAUGGAUUAUCGAAGAAUUAUCUCUUUUUUGAUAAUAUUUGCCAUCUUUAUUGUAAUUACGAGUCAAAACCAUGUUGAGGCAGCUAGAGCAUUGUCACAAGAUUUUUCUGGUGAAAUUCAUAUCGCAACAAUCCCAACGAUAUAUGAGAAGGCGAAGAGCAAUUUGUCAUUUUGGCUUGAAAGACUACCUUCUGGACCUAGCCCAUAUCGCAACAAUCCCAUCGAUAUAUGAGAAGGCGAGGAACAAUUUGUCAUUUUGGCUUGAGAGACUACCUUCUGGACCUAGCCCUAGAGGACCUGGUCAUUAAGCCAAAAAAUAACAAGUAUUUUUAAAGGGCUGAAAGAAGCAGAAUAGCAUAGCUUUUAACCUCCUCGUUUUUGUUUUGGCUAGAUAUAGAAAAUACAGGAUUGUUCUGUAUUUGUUAUUCACCUCAUUUAUUAAUUCAUUUUUCUGUAGUUUUCUGUAAAAUAAAGGGAUGAUGGUCGUGUAAGGAUCAACUUUUACUGAAAUGAAAAUAUUCUUUUUUCUUAUAUGAUUUAUUGUAUUUUCUUGCUAUGAGCUAACUUGUCUAAGUUAAGAGGAUAAUUUUUGUGACAUGCAUUUGAUG